CCGGCUUUGAUGUGGCGGAACACAAGGGCUAUACGACAGUCAACCAUGUCAUCGUGUACCAGACAAUCAAAUUAAUGUAUGAUGGGGCUAAAGAGCUUGCCCAAGGGGAAUCUGACUACUCAAAAUAUGCUAUUUUACCUGAUAAUCAGCUAAGAAAUAAGUUAAGAGAGGCGGAACCCGACCCUGAUGACAGCCAAAAUCAGGCCCCACUCCUCUCUCUCUCUCUGGCACCUACUCUUCAGAUGGCCAACAACACUUUGCCAGCAACGGCUGCUGUCCAGUUAAGAGCAAGUAUGUUUUGUUGCUGAAGCAUUAUUUGGAUUAUAGUUACUUCUCUGUUUCUGUGAAUAACUACACAUGUGUUCUUCUACUUUUCAUACUGUCAAAUUCUUAUCUUUGUACAUGGAUCCAUUAAGAACAUUAAAUAGACCACCCAGUUCAUGUAGAAUAUUGUCUAAUGCCUUCAAUUAUGCCAUGAUGUAUUCAUACAAGGUGAUGUUAUAACCAUAUCUAGAGAAGAUCACAGACAAGUUUCUUCAGCACUAUUGUGUUCACUAUGCUCUCCACUGGCAUGUCAGCAUUAUACAGUGUUCUUGUGAUAACUGAGAAAUAUAUUGUGGCUGAUGUCAUGGCAAGGCUACUACAAUCCUGACUUUGUCAAGUAUUAAGUAUUAUUGAGAUUAUGAAGUUUGUUUAUUUACAGUGUGUUGCUCUCCUAUCUUCAGGAGAUUGGAGAAAAACUAUCAAAAAUAAGUGUCAGGUUUGAUUACCCACCCCUUAACAAAGAAGUCAUACAGGGUGUAUGAAAUCUAUGGGAAGAUCCAUCCAUCUAGUGUGUUGCAAGUUCAUCCCCAUCCCCCGUCGGACCCAAUGUUGUAAGUUAGAAUAGUGGGUCUGCGGUUCUUGUUGCUGUUCUGCCGGCCCGCCGCCUCGUGUGCUGCCUUUCUUCCUGCCAAGCUUAUUUUGUGCCAGGAUUCUGGAAACGACCAAGGACAAGCAACUCAAGCGAAAGAUUGCUUCACUUAAUCUGGCGCUGUUAUUCUUCUGAAACAUGCUAAAGAAAGAUGAGAAGGAUCGGCAAAAAAGUUUGAGCCUCCUCUUAGAAGGUUCAAAACGGGACGGGGGCAAGAUAGCUCUAGGAAAGUUGGUGCGGACGGCUACGAAGUGGAGCCUAGAAGUGGCGAAUUUUCUUAAUACCGCUACAUUAAUCACCUAAAAUUGGCAAUAGUGACAACCUAGAGGAAGAUGAUACCACCGAAAGUGAUGUGCCGGUGGAUGAUAUGGACGAAUACAACUAGAAUAUUGCCAAGCCUAUUAUUGCAUCAAGGGCAAGACUUAUUACCGAUGCUCAGCGCAAAGUCGAAUAUAUGCUCAAGGAAAUAUGGGUGCCUCCUCCAACGCUACCCAUAUCCAUUUGUCAAUGAUGACUCUGCUUGAUGUCGCCGCAUACCAGCAGAAGAUAAAGCUCAACCAUAGAUUGGAAGACCGGGGCUAUAUAGAUUGAUGUCUAAAACCAAUGCAGAUCACCCUGCUGAAGAAGGAGAGGAAGUUAGAAAUCAGUUUCAGUUUUACAGGUGCAAAAUCAACUCAUUCCACUGUAAUACUGGACAUCCAGAUGUCCAGGAUGGUUAUUGUACAUGGAGAAUCAGGAUGGAUUAGAAUGGAUUAUUUAUUACCUUGGUGACAACGUCGGGUGGGCGUUGAAUCGUGGACAUGUCCCCUAUGAAUCCAGGCGGCUGGGUGAACAGAUGGACCAAGCUCCCUCCUCCGCCCAAGAAGCAA